GCAUGCUUUAUACAUGCAAGUCGAACGGAGGCCCUAGCUUGCUAGGUGUCCUUAGUGGCGCACGGGUGAGUAACACGUGGGAACAUACCUCAUAGUACGGAAUAACUGCGGGAAACUGUAGCUAAUACCGUAUAUUCCAGAAAUGGGAAAGAUUUAUCGCUAUGAGAUUGGCCCGCGCAAGAUUAGCUUGUUGGUAAGGUAACGGCUUACCAAGGCUCCGAUCUUUAGCUGGUUUGAGAGGAUGAUCAGCCACACUGGGACUGAGACACGGCCCAGACUCCUACGGGAGGCAGCAGUAGGGAAUAUUGGACAAUGGGGGAAACCCUGAUCCAGCAAUGCAGCGUGAGUGACGAAGGCCUUAGGGUUGUAAAACUCUUUCAUCGGUGAGGAUAAUGACAGUAGCCGAAGAAGAAGGACCGGCUAAUUCCGUGCCAGCAGCCGCGGUAAUACGGAAGGUCCUAGCGUUGUUCGGAAUUACUGGGCGUAAAGCGCAUGUAGGCGGAACAAAAAGUUAGAAGUGAAAUCCCUGGGCUCAACCUAGGAAUUGCUUUUAAAACUUUUGUUCUGGAAUUCAGGAGAGGAAAAUGGAAUUUCCAGUGUAGAGGUGAAAUUCGUAGAUAUUGGAAGGAACACCAGUGGCGAAGGCGAUUUUCUGGACUGAUAUUGACGCUGAGAUGCGAAGGCAUGGGUAGCAAACGGGAUUAGAUACCCCGGUAGUCCAUGCAGUAAACGAUGGGUGCUAGUCGUCGGACUUUUGUUCGGUGUCGUAGCUAACGCGUUAAGCACCCCGCCUGGGGAGUACGGUCGCAAGAUUAAAACUCAAAUGAAUUGACGG
rnacentral:rRNA from 1 species